rnacentral:rRNA from 1 species
GUGGUCUGGUUAGAUUCAACUUGUCGAACGUCGGUCGACGAUCAGAUGCCUAACGCACUGGCUCUGUCGCCGGCCGGCGCCGAUAGGCGCACUUCUUUCCAGACAGCGUCACGACCGAUUCGGGCCUGGUCUUAAGCCGGGUUGGAAGGUGGCUCCGUUCUCCGGCGGAGAGUUAUAGCCUACCCUGGCGUCGUCCAGGCUCGGAUCGAGGAAUGGCCGUACCCGCUUAAGCACGGGCCCUCGUCCUGCGUUCGUCGUUCGACUGGGCUGGACUGUUACAGUGCUGUCCGACUGCGAUGGGUACGGGCGGGAGUGCUCCCGGGUACACACGGUCAGUGGCGAGUGGUCGGCAAUCUUUUAUACUCGUCUUGAAACACGGACCAAGGAGUCUAGCACGUAUGCGAGUUGUAGGGCAUUACGAAACCCGAAGGCGCAAUGAAAGUAAAGGUCGGUCUCUAUCGGCU